AAGUCGUAACAAGGUCUCCGUUGGUGAACCAGCGGAGGGAUCAUUAACACGUUAUCCACGUAUCAACCAACGAGAACCCGUUUUCGCCCUCUCUUCCUGAGAAUGAAUUGGAGCUUGCUUAGAGUUAUUGAAUGGGAUGCUUGCGUCAGACUCUACUCGCCACUUACUAAAGCGUAGAAAUACGUCAGGUAGACAAUUGGAUCUCUGUGAAGACUCUCUCUCACCGUUCGGGUCUCCAUUCAUUGACUUUUUCGGUGGGAACUCAUAUUAACCCCUUUCACCCCCUUUUUGCUAGUUGACUUUUAUAUGUUGUUCAUCUGCCUCGGCAUGUGAGCACACGUUUAAUUAUUUGAACGUUAAAAAUACAACUCUUAGCAAUGGAUAUCUAGGUUCUC
rnacentral:misc_RNA from 1 species